GUUGAUGGUUCCUGGCAAUGAUGGCAAAAUAUGAGCGGCUAAGGGCAGCCAAGAAAUAAAUUGCAAACACACACACACUUUUUUUUAACAAAUAUACAAAAAUCUACUUUCUCACUUAGAGUGCACAUGCCAAAAUAAUGUUGACAGCUGUACUUUACAUUUUGUAUUUGUUAGUAAUUCAGAUAAAAAGUGCUUUAAAGGUUUAUUGUCUGCCCCUUGUUAUUUUAUAAAAGUGCCGAUUACAAUCAGUCAGCAGUCAGGGUGCUCCCCCCUCGCUAGCUUUGAGUACUCACUCAAAAGUGGAGAAAACCAUUGAAUCCAAUGCUGUUGUACG